rnacentral:misc_RNA from 1 species
CGCGGCUUGGCCGGAUAUGAACAAGAAGACCUAGGUGGUUGCUGCAAGUUGUUGUGCACAGGCGGAGGAUUGAUGUCAAUGCUGAUCCUUUUCUUCUUGGCCUCAUCUCCACCUUCUUUUUUCUUGACCGGCCUUGAAUGCUCUGGUAACCAUCUGAUAAAAUCCGUACUGCAUACCCAGGUUUCCUUGGAUACCUCCAUUGACAGCUUGGGCUCACACAUCAUUAACAACAAGCAUUCUGGUAACACAGGCUGACUUUCACUCUCCUUCGACUUCAAAUCACUUUGACCUUCUUGGCCUGUCGGGUCUAAGGAUUUGGAUCUUUCAUGGGCCACUGUAUCUUCUUCUUCUUCUUCUUCUUCCUCCUCCUCCUCUUCUUGCAUGCAGGUUGAAUCUCUCUUUUCAUUUGUUUCUUGUCUUGCAAAUUCUUCUGCUAAAGCUCGAGCAGUCUCUGCUGAUUUUGAUUCUUGGUCUUCUACUAAGUCUUGGCCAGCUUCUUCGGAUUCUUUUUGAUGUACGGACACGUUGUCAUCACUGAAAUUUCUCUCUUGUUCGUCGUCUUCUGCUCUGCUGAGCCUUCGUUCUAUAUUAUCUUCACUUUCUUGGAGCAACUCCUCUUCAUUUUCAUCAUCUUUCAAGUACUCUGGAUCUUCGGUUUCUUCCCGUGAAGGAGAAGAAUCAUCCAAUAGAGUUUCUUGCUGCUGGUUCACCUGAAUUUCUGUUUUCUCUUCUUGCUCUUCUAAAUUCCCUUCCUUCACACAACGUAUUUCUGUGCUGCUCUCUUGGCAAUCUUCUCCCUCCAAAUUAACCAGACUCGCUUCAGUUUCUUGAAUUUGAUGCUCUUCAACGGCUUCACAAGAAACCCAACUUUCGUUUAUCAAAUCCCCUCCAUGCUUCAUUUCUUGCUCAAGUUGUGUUCUUUGCCUCUCUUCAUCGUGACCUGCUUCAACUUCUACGUUUUCCUUUUCUUCUUCCUCUUUUCCAUCAUCUUCACCAGCUUCCUCAUCCUCAUCAUUUGGAAGCGGUGCUUCCCAGAAUUUAUUAGCAAGAGCAGCCAUUCUCACAGGGUCAGAUCUGCACCUCAUCAACAACAAAGCAUUCUUUGGUGGGAUGCAAAUACUGACCCUUGCUUCCUCUUCUUGCAUACUUUCGUUUCCUUC